rnacentral:rRNA from 1 species
UGGGGAAUAUUGGGCAAUGGGGGAAACCCUGACCCAGCAACGCCGCGUGAAGGAUGAAGGCUUUCGGGUUGUAAACUUCUUUGAUCAGGGACGAACAAAUGACGGUACCUGAGGAACAAGCCACGGCUAACUCCGUGCCAGCAGCCGCGGUAAUACGGAGGGUGCAAGCGUUAUCCGGAUUUACUGGGUUUAAAGGGUGCGUAGGCGGAUGAAUAAGUCAGUGGUGAAAUCUCCGAGCUUAACUCGGAAACUGCCGUUGAUACUAUUUGUCUUGAAUAUUGUGGAGGUAAGCGGAAUAUGUCAUGUAGCGGUGAAAUGCUUAGAUAUGACAUAGAACACCAAUUGCGAAGGCAGCUUGCUACACAAUCAUUGACGCUGAGGCACGAAAGCGUGGGGAUCAAACA